GAUCAGUCUAUACAUUUCAGAAAAUAAAAUAAAAAGAUUAAUAUGCAUGGUCAAAACAAUAACAAGAACAAUAUAAAUGUCUAUAGGAGAAAUGAAAGCUGGUAGGAACUGAAAGAAAAUCUGGUCUUUGCUCAUCCUAAAUCUAGCCUCAGCAAAAAAAAUACAGUUUUAUGUGCAUAAAAUAUUAUUUAAACAUAUAAUAAUAGUUAUUUGUUAAAUUUUGCAGUCAAACUAGCCACAUAUUCCUGGUGUUGAGCAAAAUGUAUGUAGAAAAAAACUUUUGUAAAUGUAACCUGGGGAACAAAAGUCCAAUUCAGGAAUGAACCUCGCCCCCUCUCUCUCUCUCGAGAAGAAGAAGAAGAAGAAGAAGAAGAAGAAGAAGAAGAAGAAGAACGUGGAAACUUGUUAUUUUGUUUUACAGUAAACAUCUGGACUCUUAUUUUGAAAAUACAUGAAGUUCCUGUCUGAUGUGGACCAUGUGACUAGCGACAGCCAACCGGCUGGGAGGAUUUUUACCCCGGGGUAAUGCCGGUCUACGUGACAGGGGAGAGCGGAUUUUUAUUUAUUUAUUUAUUUUUUAAGCCUUUUCAGCUUCAACUUUUUUUGUCUUCCUUUUUUUCCACAUUUUUAUUUUUUACUCCUUACUUGUCUUUGCUGUGAAAGAAUCCCCCCCCCCCCGCCUUUUUUUUGGUCUACCAGGACUUGAUUUUGUCUUACUCAUGAGUCUGUCCUGGGUUGGAGGCCGUGUUUUGCCCUGGAGUCUCAUUGACGUCCAGCACAUUCACCAGCACUGUGGCCGUGGAGGUGGUCAUUGGAGUUGAAAAGGGGAUGUCGUUCUCCACUGUGACCAGCAGGAUGUGAGUUCUGUUUCUCUCAUAUUCCAGAGCCUGAUUUUCAUUUGUCAAAGAAGAGAAAACAUUCUAGAAUAAACAAUCAGUACCUUAA